rnacentral:rRNA from 1 species
UACGGAGGGUGCGAGCGUUGUCCGGAAUCAUUGGGCGUAAAGGGCGCGUAGGUGGCCCGGUCAGUUCGUGGUGAAAGCGCGGGGCUCAACCCUGCGUCGGCCAUGAAUACUGCCGCGGCUGGAGCACUGUAGAGGCAGGCGGAAUUCCGGGUGUAGCGGUGGAAUGCGUAGAGAUCCGGAAGAACACCGGUGUCGAAGGCGGCCUGCUGGGCAGUUGCUGACACUGAGGAGCGAAAGCGUGGGGAGCGAACAGG